rnacentral:rRNA from 1 species
AGCGAACGCUGGCGGCAGGCUUAACACAUGCAAGUCGAGCGGGCACUUUCGGGUGUCAGCGGCGGACGGGUGAGUAACGCGUUGGGACGUGCCCUCUGGUUCGGAAUAACUCAGGGAAACUUGAGCUAAUACCGGAUACGCCCUUUUGGGGAAAGGCUUGCUGCCGGAGGAUCGGCCCGCGUCUGAUUUGCUAGUUGGUGAGGUAACGGCUCACCAAGGCGACGAUCAGUAGCUGGUCUGAGAGGAUGAUCAGCCACACUGGGACUGAGACACGGCCCAGACUCCUACGGGAGGCAGCAGUGGGGAAUAUUGGAAAAUGGGCGCAAGCCUGAUCCAGCCAUGCCGCGUGAGUGAUGAAGGCCUUAGGGUUGUAAAGCUCUUUUAUCCGGGACGAUAAUGACGGUACCGGAGGAAUAAGCCCCGGCUAACUUCGUG